rnacentral:rRNA from 1 species
GACGAACGCUGGCGGCGUGCUUAACACAUGCAAGUCGAACGGACAGGCCCUGCUUUUGCGGGGUGCUCGAUUGCCGAACGGGUGAGUAACACGUGAGUAACAUGCCCCUGACUUACUGAUAACAUCACGGAACAGGGGCUAAUACCGGAUAGGAGCUCCUGCAGCGUGGUGGGCGCUGGUGAGUUUCGGCGGUUGGGGAUGGACUCGCGGCGUAUCAGCUUGUUGGGGGGGUAGUGGCUUACCAAGGCUUCGAGGGGUAGCAGGCCUGGGAGGGUGACCGGCCACAUUGGGACUGAGAUACGGCCCAGACUAGUACGGGAGGCAGCGGUGGAGAAUAUUACACAGGAGGCGGAAGCCAGAUGUGACAACGCCGCGUGCGGGAUGACGGGCUGGGGGUUGUAAACCAAUGUCGCCUGUGACGAGGAGUGAGUGACGGUAAUGGAUAAAGAAGCACCGGCUAACUACGUG